rnacentral:rRNA from 1 species
UUCCAUUCCAUCCCGAGAAAACAAAACAAAAAGAAAUACUUUCUCGGAGAGCAACAAGAGUCCACUAGUCCUACUCCGGUCCGGCCCUCCCCGCAGCCGCCGCGCGCACAGGCACAGCCCCACAGCCCCAAACCAGAGCGAGCGGUCGGCGGCGCGGCGGAAGGGGGAAUGAUGGAUGCGCGGCGUUGGCAGUCCCCGGCGGCGGCGGCCGCGGCGGCCGAGGCGGCGGCGGAGGACGCGUCGGGCGGCGGGGGCGGGCCCUCGAGGCGGCCGCCGCGCCGCGGGCUGCAGCGCGCGUCGCCCUACGGGCUGGGCCCCCGGCGCUGGCUCCCGAAGCCCCCGGUGGCCUCUAGUGUCUUCCCCGCCGCGUCCCGUGACCACGCCGCCGAAGGCGAUAAUCGGAUGGGUCAAUAUGAAUCAAUGGAUGUAGCGCAUGAAGCGAGCAGAGUAACGCAUGAAAAUAAGUCUAUGGAACCAAAUACCAAUGCUAUAACCAAUGUGGCCCUAGCGUUUUCAAACGAAGCCAACCUGCUGCCUGAAGGUGAUUACAUAAAUCGAAGCAGUGGACUUGCUGAAAUCGAGAAGAUCAUCAAACAGAAGCAAUUUUCUAGGGAUGAAACAGAACGUUUGAUAGAGAUCAUGCGUUCGAGGACUCCUGAUCUCCAUGAGGACGAUCAGAGAGCUACGCAGUCUUUUGCGAAAGAAACUGAAACUACACCGUUUUCUAACAAACUGGUGAUACCUGCAAAGCCAGAUGAACGAAAUUGGGGGACUGAUGUGUUUGCACAGUCAAAUGUGCAUGAUGUUACUUCACCCAUUGAACUUGCUAGAGCUUAUAUGGAAGCACAGACCUCAGCAAGUGUACAUGAAUCUCAAAAGAGAAAAUUCAGAGCUUUGAGUCAUGGAGUUGAAAUUGAGAAUUCAGCAUCAAAAAUCUUCCCUAAAGUGGCCAUGGACUCUCCUGUGCGCUGGCCAGGUUCAGUUGUCCGAGACCAUACAAACCACUACCUUACACCACAAAGUAAUAAACGAAGAGCUCUUCCUCCUGCAUCCUCUCGCUCACCAUAUACUGGCUCAGUUUUCCGAAGAUCUGUCAAGAGAACAGGACAGCUUGAUACCUAUAGUAACUUAUCUGGGCGGCCACAGCUUUCAACACCUUUUUCCGUUGGAAGUAAGGCUAUGCUAGAGGAUAAAAUGACAUCAACUGAUGGUGUUCUUGGAGUGCAACCAUCAACCUCUUCCGAAAGAGUACAUGCAGAUGCCGUUGGCACUGAUACUCCACAUACAUUCACCCUAGAAAGACCUCACGGCAAAGGCACCAUAGAAAGUGGCUCGAGUACUGGACGUGUACCAGUGGCAGACAAUAUUUCCAAGCAUGCUGCUGUAUCUGUUCAUCCGAAGUCAAGCCAGACAGCUCAGAAAAUACUCCAGCAUCUUGAGAGGACAAUUCCAUCCCCUACAGUAAAGCCAGAGCUAAGGCGAACUGCAAAGAGAACUAUUUCCCCUGUUGUCAUCAGCAGCCCGUAUAAAAUGCCCGACUCCGUCACUAAUAAUGCUCCCAGACAGAACAGCCUCAAUGAGCAUGCCAGUGCUUAUCAGGCAAUUUCAAAUGUGAAGAAGGUUCAGGAACCCCCAAGCAGCUCCAAUUGUGAGGAGCCGGCUCCAAAGGUCCAGAGCCCAGUGGCCACCCCAGAAGUUACUGAAAUGACCGGCUCACAGCAUCUUUCGAAGCCCGACGCGGCAACUGCACCAGCUGCAGCAGUCUCGGAUAAAAGCGCGACCAAUGGUUUCAUGUUCUCGUUCCCUGUCACCAAAACCUCAGUUUCGCUUCCAGAACCGCCACCCACUCCUACUUUCUUCUCACCGCCGAAAAGGAGCCCGCCAGCUGACAUCCAAGAUAUCCCCAAGUUCAACUUUGGCUCACCAAGUUCUACGGACAAUCUCGUUUUCUCUGUCGAUGCAGCAGGCGGCUCUGCUGGUGCAGAGGAAGUGGCUCCAACCUUCAAGUUUGGGUCGGACAAGCGAGAGCUUUCCUUCGACGUGGCUGGGAAAGACGCGGUUGUCUCUUAGAGAUGGGCAUCCUCUGCUAUCUGAACCCGCUCGCACUUGUUAUUUGCUGGGAUGACGGCACCAUUUAUAACAAACAAUACGUGACUUAUACAAGAAAACAUGGGCCUCGCAUACCCCAGUAUUUUCAAUGCAUAUUUUUGCAGAUGCUCCUGUCCUGAGUUGUGUGCCAUUUGCAGGAUCUCCCUCCUGUGGUUCUCUCAACCAGGCCUGGAGCUGGAGUCAGUUGGGCAUCAGCCAAUUUGGUGUCCACACAGCUUUGGUAUGCCUGAAUAAAAUUUCAUAAAGCAAUACCUUUUUGGUCCAAGGUAUGCCUCUGAUUAUAUAUGUAAUCUGUUGGAAAGGGCCUUCUUUUCUCCGUGGAACCGCGUCUGAUCGCUCUAAUUUCGAUGUAUCGUCCGACGCAAAAAAUGAAAAGAGGCAAGCAGGAUGAUCUGGUUCGCAAAGACAGGAGUCGAGUCCGAGUCAUGGGGGUGACCGGCUGAUGCAGAAAGGCAUUGACUGAUUGCGUUUUCGCGCUGGCCUGAUGCUACCUUUGAACUAAGCAUGGCCAAAAUAUAGCGUGUCACUCUCAUUAGAGGAGUAUUAUUAAUAGUGAUAGUCUAUCUCAUGCAUGCAUGGUGCUAAAUAAAAGUUAACUUCGACGCGUUUGGACGGUUGGGCAGGGAGACGACGUCGCCUUCGUGACAGCGUUCGUGGCCUGGAGAAAGGGGAAUCUUGUCCGUGCCAUUAUUGUAGGCUUGUAGUUAUAUAUCUGCCCGGCACGGCGGGUGUGAUUUGAGCGGUAGAUCGUCCGAUUAUGGGGUCGAUGAUGUUUAAGUCUCAACAGCCGAUCACAGUGUGUGCAGUGUAGUGGGCGUCCAGCGCCGGAUGGAGGAGCUUGGAAGCUUCAAGAAGCUGAAAAGUAGGACUACACAGGAUUCUGCAGAAUGUGUGUAUCUAUGAAAACUACUCCUGCUACUUGACAGUGAAAUCCACUAACCGCAUGAAUCCCAGAAGAAAUUCGAGGCGCC